rnacentral:misc_RNA from 2 species
UAGAGUUUUCUAAACUCCCAACCCUAUGUGAACUUACCUACGUUGCCUCGGCGGGGCCUACCCGGUAUCCUCCUUUUUGGGAGGUCGUACCCUGUAGCCCGCCGGUGGAUUUUCAAACUCUUGUUAUUUUAAUGAUAUCUGAGCGUCUUAUUUUAAUAAGUCA